AUCACAAUCAAUACUGUAAUUACAAUUUUUAAAAUCGGUUGACCCAGAUAGCCCUCCCUGAACCUCUAAGCGGCACAUGCUAAGACGGACUUUCCAGCUUAAACGUGAAUUAAUUCGCGCAUCCCUUGAGUGGCCGAAACCACGCGUGGGCCCCGCCCCUCUGAGCGGGAACGGGGGCAAUUGCCAACCCUUCCGCGCGUGGCCGCCAGAGGGCGCGCCGAAGCCGCCAAACUCGCCGGGGAGCGGGGCGGUCCCCAGGGAACCUCCGCGAGCAAAACGCCGUCUUCUUUGCAAAAGGCGGUUGGCGGUCCCCACGGGGUGUUCACACUUUGUCUCCUCUAGACUCCUGGUAAUUUCGACAAUUUAAUGAAGUCCUUUGUGGGGAAGCAGUUGGAUUUCAAUGACUUUCUCCCUGGAGCUCCGCCGGAAUUUGGAAACCACACAAAAUACUCCCGAGGCCAUAGUCCACGUGGAGCCAGUCAAGUGAUGACAGUUAUGUGUUUUGUGGGGUCAUAUCUGUGACUCUACUUCAGUCCUUCAAUAAAUAUUUGAGUACCCAUUAUAAGCCGGAAGCUGCUAUAACAGAAUCUCAUAAACUGACCCAAGGAAGGAAGUAGCAGUUUUCAACAUUGGCUCCAUAUCAGAAUCCCCUGAGGAAAUCUAAAAACUAGUGAUUCCUGGGCCUACCCAGAGAGAUUCUGAUUUAAUCGGUCUGGGAUGCAGCGUCUGUGGAGGACUCUACUGUGAAGAGGACAUUUUAUUUAUUUAUUUAUUUAUUUAUUUAUGUUUUGAGACAGAGUCUCACUCUCU